rnacentral:lncRNA from 1 species
GUUGCUGAGUCUGGCUUUGAACUCAUGAUGCUCCUGCCUCAUGAUCCUUCUCCCAAGCCAUUGGGAUUAUAGGCGUGCACCACCACUCCCAGUACCAGAAAAAGAAUUCUAGUCAGGCUUUCCUGAUUUAGAUCUGCAUCCGAGUAUGCUACAAGCAACCUGACUGUUCCAAACUGGAAAAGGAACAACUAAAAGAUUUACAGGGGACACACCCCAAGAAAUAACAUGGUAGAAUGAAUAGACAAAAUGCCAUCCAGCCACACAAUGGAAUACUAUUCAACCAUAAAAAGAAAUGGUAUAUGCUACAACAUGGAUGUACCUUGAAAUCACUAGGCAAGAAUCCAGAAGUCACAUAUGGUAUGAGUUCAUUUAUGUAAAAUGUCCAGAAUAGGAAAUGUGUACAGACAAAAAGUAGAUUAGUGGUUUCCAGAGGCUCAGGAGAGAGAAAUAGGGGAUGACUGCUAGUAGGUAUGGGGUCUCUUUCUAGGGUGAAAGUUGCACAACCUGUGAAUAUACAAAAACCCACUGGACUGUACACUUUAAAAAGGUAAAUUUUGUUACAUGGAUUGUAACUCAAUUUAAAAGAAUAAACCAUAGUCAGCCUCCAUUGCUGGCAACAUAACCAGUUAAUUUUGCCCAGGGCAAGGACUUCAUGGGUCCCUGCACCUCAAGUCAGAGCAGUGGAAGCAGAAUAUCCAAAGGUGAUAGUUACAAAGUAGAAUUUUAGUGUAUCCAACUUGAAAGUGUUGAGGACAUACAUGGUAAUAUCUGUUGUGUGAGUAUGGCAGGAGGACAUCUGUACCAAGGACCUAGGUUGUCCUGAGAGAACAGGAACAGUGUCCUGUGAACACAGGACAACAGAGGGAAGACCAGGGUUGGUCAAUUCUUAGGACUCUGUCUUAGGAAACGGUAAAGCUCCAAAGCUGACACUGUGGAGCGUAUACCCAAAUGGAGCCAGGAUCUUUAAGCCAAAGACAGUGUUAUGGGGAAGUUUUAAAAGUUACUUAUCUUUUAGAAAUUUUAAGUAGAAUGUUGGGAUGCUGUUCAGCAAGCCAAGUAUGUGUGCACUUUGUCUUUGGACAGACCUAGACUGGGACCCAGCUCUCAUCCUUUCAGAGCCUGUUUCUCCAACUGCAAGACGAGAAUACUACUUUCUGCCUUAUGAGGUUUAAGUGAGACGAUCUGACUUUAUGCCUCCUGCAUAGUGAGUUCCCAACCACCCCAAAGCAACAGUUCCAAGGGGCAGAAGUGUCUGGGCCCUCAAGAGGCACAGUCAUCAUAGGGAUGGCUCUCCUAAGACUGGUCCAGCCACUGCCAGAAGUGCAGACCAGUGGGCAAGGCAAAACAUAAGCAGGUUAUCAAAUCUGCCUAACCCACAUUCUUCUCUCCAAACCUUUCCAAAAAUCACAGUGUGUUGCUAGAAGAAAAACUGACAUUGUCCACAUUCUACCUGAUGCAUAGAUUCCUCUAUACCUGCUGCAAUAGCACCCAAGCUUUUGUUAGAGAUUUUCAUAGAGAACUUUCCACUUUACAACAUUUCAUUUUGGGACCCUCCCAGUUUUAUUUUCUAAUAUGCUGGGCAUACUGGCCUUUGACCCUGGAGCCCUCAUUGCCCCAUGAGUACAGUAGAAAGGGAAUGGAUAGGGGUGACAGAAUAGGAAGAUGAGGGUUACUGUACUGGGCCUCCAGAAUACCCCACA